rfam:Citrus sinensis cultivar Ridge Pineapple sweet orange scaffold00992_contig_1, whole genome shotgun sequence.
AAGAUAAGAGCCUGUCAGCUUAGCCAAGGAGACCGCCUGGCAACCAAACAAGAGAGGCUUCCAGCCACUUGAAACCCUCGUCUUGCAAUCAAGGCGCAGGCAAGUCAUCCUUGGCUAGCAAACAAUGCUAUUAUAU